ensembl:snRNA U6 U6 spliceosomal RNA
GUGCUUGCUUUGGCAGCACAUAUACUAAAAUUGGAAUGAUCCAGAGGUUAGCAUGGCCCCUGCACAAGGAUGACACACAAAUUCAUGAAGUGUUCCAUAUCUGC